CCUACGGGCGGCAGCAGUGGGGGAUAUUGCACAAUGGGGGGAACCCUGAUGCAGCGACGCCGCGUGGGUGAAGGAGUGCUUCGGCAUGUAAAGCCCUAUCGGCAGGGAAGAAGCAAGACGGUACCUGACUAAGAAGCCCCGGCUAACUACGUGCCAGCAGCCGCGGUAAUACGUAGGGGGCGAGCGUUAUCCGGAUUCACUGGGUGUAAAGGGAGCGGAGACGGCCAUGCAAGCCAGGGGUGAAAGCCCGGGGCCCAACCCCGGGACUGCCCUUGGAACUGUGCGGCUAGAGUGCGGGAGGGGCAGGCGGAAUUCCUGGUGUAGCGGUGAAAUGCGUAGAUAUCAGGAGGAACACCGGCGGCGAAGGCGGCCUGCUGGACUGCGACUGACGUUGAGGCUCGAAAGCGUGGGGAGCGAACAGGAUUAGAUACCCCUGUAGUC
rnacentral:rRNA from 1 species